GGGCCUGUGGUCUAGUCUGGAAUGACAUAGGACUUCGGAUCCUAAGAUCGGGGGUUCAAAUCCCUCCAGGCUCG
rnacentral:tRNA from 2 species